GUCCAGGGAUGGGAAUCGAACCCACAGUGUUACGCUUACCGGGCAGAUGCCAUGUCCACUAGGCUACCCUGGA